CCCUUAGAUGUUCUGGGCCGCACGCGCGCUACACUGACGGUGGCAACGAGUUUUUCCUUCGCCGAAAGGUGUGGGUAAUCUUUUGAAACAUCGUCGUGCUGGGGAUAGAUCAUUGCAAUUUUUGAUCUUGAACGAGGAAUUCCUAGUAAGCGCGAGUCAUCAGCUCGCGUUGAUUACGUCCCUGCCCUUUGUACACACCGCCCGUCGCUACUACCGAUUGAAUGGUUUAGUGAGGACCCCUGAUUGGCGCCGCCGCCCCGGCAACGGAGCAGCGGACUGCCGAAAAGUUGUUCAAACUUGAUCAUUCAGAGGAAGUAAAAGUCGUAACA
rnacentral:rRNA from 1 species